rnacentral:rRNA from 1 species
CCCGCUGAACUUAAGCAUAUCAAUAAGCGGAGGAAAAGAAACCAACAGGGAUUGCCUCAGUAACGGCGAGUGAAGCGGCAACAGCUCAAAUUUGAAAGCUGGCUCUUUUAGGGCCCGCGUUGUAAUUUGUAGAGGAUGCUUCGGGUGCGGCGCUGGUCUAAGUUCUUUGGAACAAGACGUCAUAGAGGGUGAGAAUCCCGUAUGUGACUGGCUGCCUAUGCUCAUGUGAAUCUCCUUCAACGAGUCGAGUUGUUUGGGAAUGCAGCUCUAAAUGGGUGGUAAAUUCCAUCUAAAGCUAAAUACUGGCAAGAGACCGAUAGCGCACAAGUAGAGUGAUCGAAAGAUGAAAAGAUCUCUGAACAGAGAGUUAAAUAGUACGUGAAAUUGUUGAAAGGGAAGCACUUGCUACCAGACACACUUGCAAUUAAUCAACCUCCAUUUUUGGUGGUGCACUUGGUUGUAGGUGGGUCAGCAUCAGUUAUAGCGGUAGGAAAAAGACUGUGGGAAUGUGGCUUCUCCUGGGAAGUGUUAUAGCCCAAAGUGUAGUGCUGCCUGCUGUGACUGAGGACCGCGCUUCGGUGAGGAUGCUGGCAUAAUGGUUGUAAGUGACCCGUCUUGAAACACGG